rnacentral:rRNA from 1 species
CCCUUAGAUGUUCUGGGCCGCACGCGCGCUACACUGAUGCAUUCAACGAGUCUAAAACCUGCUCUGAUAGGGGUGGGUAAUCUUUUGAAUGUGCAUCGUGAUUGGGAUAGAUGAUUGCAAUUUUUCAUCUUCAACGAGGAAUGCCUAGUAAACGCAAGUCAUCAGCUUGCAUUGAUUACGUCCCUGCCCUUUGUACACACCGCCCGUCGCUCCUACCGAUUGAAUGAUCCGAUGAAUAUCAUGGAUUGAGGAUGCAAGUAGGUUCGCCUAUCUUCAUCUUCGAGAAGUGAAGUAAAUCUGAUCAUUUAGAGGAAGGAGAAGGCGUAACA